ACUGAGGAAAGAAGCUGUUCUCUCUCGCUCUCUUCUCUUCUCCCUCACCAUGCCGCUCCGGUGUCUUCGCUUCUCUAUUUCACUAUCUCUCACUCUCUAUAUAUCUCCCGCCCAACGCAAGGUCUGCAUAAGGGAAGAGGCAAGUCGUCUUCCAUAGAGCUCCUCCAUCGCUGCGUCUUGAAGAACCUUCUCGAACGGCCCCAAACUAACGCCUGAAGCCUCUCAAUUUUCAAACCCAUCAAGGAUCGCCUGAAGCUUCUCAUCUCUUCCCUUCGACGGUGGUUUCUUCUAAUCUUCAAACUCAAGGUCAUCUCUGAUGCAGCCUCGUCAAAGGCCAGGUUUGUGAGUUAUUGAAUUUCUCAAAUUAACCUAGUUCUCUAGCCUCUGAAGAUUUUCCUGCUACAAGAUUCCAAUCGCUGCUGUCACGGAUUGGUAUUCAAUCUGCAUGAUUUGCACAUCUUUCCUAUGGUCCUUGGUGAGGUGUAAAGGCCAUAUAUGCCUUCAUGAAGGGAGGAUGCAAAGGAGGUCAAGUUUAGGGAGGAGUUUGAGGGGGCAGUGCUUGAGAGACACUCAGCACCAGGGGGGUUGCAUAUGAUAGUGAUAAGGAUACGCCUGCUGAUGUGGAGGCAGAAGCAGACACGAGAGAGACACUGCAUGCUAAGGCAGCCAACAAAGUUGCACAUUGGCGGGAGUAGGAUAAAGGCAGGGAGUUCAAGGAGCUGGUUCUUCAAGCAUACUGUGAAUGGUUCCAUUGGCGGCAACAAUCUUCUAGUGGUUUUAAGUCUCCUCGGAAAUCUAUGUGGUAUUGACAUUGGUGUACUGUUAAAUGGUCAUUCUUCUUCUUCAUUCUUAAUACAUAUUUCAAUUUCUUUUAUUGAAUGCAUGCUGGUAGUGCUAAAUUAUGGGUAAAUAAAGUAAUAUAAGGGACAGGACAUGGUAGGCUAUGACAUACACUAGCAACCUCCUAAAAUCAUGUUGUGACAUACACUAGAAACCUCCUAAAAUCAUGCUUAAAUAGUCUUGCUAAAAUUGAUGUCACUAUACAUGGUCAGUUGAAUCAAAUGUUUGACCGCUUAAAUGGUCAAUUUAAUUUUUUGACUGAAAUGUACCAUGUCUCCACCGAAAAUUUGGUAAUUUUACAGUACAUUUCGGUUUCGACUAGGGUAAUCACUAACCAUGAUGUCACUAUACAUGGUCAGUUGAAUCUAACUGGAUAGGCACCUCGCCUAAUCAUUGUUAUGAGGGUGAAAACUAUUUCAGAUGGACUUAAAAAAAGAUUUAUUAUUUGAAGGUGGUUGUUAGUUUUAAACUUUUAAAUUUAGUAUGUUCCUGGAAUGUACAUUAAUUUAUUUUUUCCCAUCAUGAUCUUGUUGGUAUGCAAGAUUUAAGAAAUUAGGUCCAUUGUGGACGUAAAUUUAUAGCUUGUGCUUCUUGUAUAACAUGUCCACGGUUCCAAAGCUGCCAUGGACCAUAUGCUUACAGUAUCGAAGGAUCACAUACAGGUGCAUCUUCUUAUAUAUAAUUUUGUGCUGAUAUAAUGCAAGACAUGCAAUUUUCUCACAAUUUUAAUUAGAUCUCCUUGCAAUGAUCAUUAUGGUUGAAUUGGUAGGGACCAAGGGAAUUUUAUGAUGGACCUCUUAUCAAAUGCAUCAAUUCACAUGUUUCAGUUGAAAAUUUGAUGCCCUGGAGAACAAUUAAAUGUGGCUUCAUAUUUAAACGAAGUUGCUUUGUUGUUGUUAAAGAAUAGACCCUAUAUACUAUGGGGGUACAAUUUUAUGUCUACCACAAUAUGGGGGGGGGGACUGUAAGAGUAUUGAUUCUGCUACUCCCUUAACAGUCUCUCCCUCUUCUUUUUCUUUCUCUUUCAUCUCCUCUCUUCUACUGCAGUUACUGGUUACAGAUCCUGGUUUGCCACAGUUGCUCUAGCAACCAUGGCUGCAGGGUAUGAAACUCAGUUUUGAAUUUUAACUUAGUAACAUUAGGGUACACUGAUGCUGUUCUAUUAGGGGUGAGGAUUAGUAACUUCAGCUCCAUCAAGUCCUUUUGAUAUGGUGUCUUUUCAUUUUUAUCCUUAUUAAUCCCAGUUUGAGAUGGUCUAAAAUGGGUAAAGACUAAAAGCCUCAGACUGACCUGUAGAAACUACGCAGUUCCGUUGGGUUGUAAGUUGUCAUUGAGCUUUUUUUGGUGGAUGCAACUUUGAAAAGCAACGAUGAUUCAAACUUAUGCCAAUCCAAUGUUGAAAUCUUCACACCCAUUAAAGAGAAACAGGACAGUUAGAAAUGUUGGGGCACAUUUGCCACCAUAGGCAUAUAUAUAGCUAAAAUAACGGUUUAAAGGUAGUCACUGGUACUGUUGGGGAUUUGAAGGAUAUGUUCCAUUAUUUACGAACUAAGAUAUUUUCUAAGUUUCUUGGAUUCCGUUGUGUUUGGUUUCUGAUAGUUGUUGCCUACAAGAUAACUGGUAACUUUUGAAAUUUUAAUGCUUCAAGUGACACUUAUCUGGACCUCCAUUUUAAUUUCUUUUCUUAUUUUCCUUCUUUCUGUUAUUUCUUCUUUUUGGUGGGGAUAUAGUUGUUGGUUAGUUCUUCACCUCAGUUCAGCCUUUGAUAAGCCCAAGAAGACAGUUUAUUGAUCUUUGAUCUUCUGAGGUGUUCUUAAAAUCCACUAGAUGGGUGAAUAUUCUCAUGUUCUUGUUUAUCGAUGAACAUGCACUCUUGGCUCAAUAUUUUUUUCUGUAUUUUUGUUAUAUAUUGUUGACUGUAAUAUAUGUAAGCAUUUCUCAGGGUUUUCCCUUAUUUUUUGGACGGCCUGGCCUUGAGAUUAUGAGGAGUUCCCUCGUAAUGUAGUAAUUCAAAUGUGUUUCAUUACAGUUUUUAUUAAGUUUUUCUGUCCAUUUAUUUGGGAUCAUGUGCUAACUGAACUCAACUGAGCUUAUCUCUUCUACAUGGGGGUUGGCAGCAAAAAUUCACCAUUCAACCUUGGUUAGGUUAAUAUUCUGGUUACUCAUUAUCAUUUGUCUUUAUCACCACUUCAAUCCAAGACAUUUUGGGUGCCUACUAACUCCUCCAACUUGUACCAUGCCACCUCUUGCUGUUGCACUCAUUGGUCUUAUUUGCACAUGGCUGAACCAUCUCACUUUCCCUUUUUCAUCACUUAUAAUGAUUAAAUUUCCUUGACUUCAUUUAUUUCUGAUUCUAUCACAUCCUUAGACUCGGCACUAAUCAAUCUCAGUAUUCUCAUGUUAACAAUGCGUAUUAUAUAUUUACACUAAAUUUUUUGGAAUUUGGAUAUAUUAUGUUUUCAUUUUCUUAUUGCUAAUUCUGUGUUGUGUGUGCAUGUGUGUGUAUUAUUUCUUGCCCCCUCUUCAAAUCAGGUUGGGAUGCCUGUGAAGUUGAGGGACUUUGUCUUAACCAGCCAUAGUGGUGAAGAGGUGACAGAAUGUGAAGUUUUAAUGGAUAAUCGUAUACCUGUUGGAUAUGUUUCAUGCCCCAUAGAAACAGUGAGUAUCAUUAGACUUUUAGAGUGUUGGUUGUGUUUUAGCUGAGUAAAGCUAUAACUCAAAGUUAAUUCAUUAAAUGCUUAUCCAUUUUAUUAGGACA